rnacentral:tRNA from 1 species
UCCCUCGUAGCUCAACUGAGCAGAGCACGCCGCUGGGCGGAGGUGCCGGUUCGAAUCCGGCCGAGGGGA